AAAUGCAUAACGACUCUUUUUCAAUUUUUGACAAAUAUUAUUUACAAAAUUUUAUUUCGACAAAACCCACACAGCACAAAACGUUGCAGCAACGUUGCAAACUUGCAGAUUACACUGCAAUCUUGCAGAGACAUUGAAAGAUUAUGAAAUUGCAAACUUCUAAUAGUAAUAUUGCAGCAACGUUGCAGAAACAUUGCAAAAAUAUUGUAAUGUUUCUGUAACGUUAUGCAUAUUGAUAUAAGGCAUGCAUGUCGCUGUGAACGCAGUAACGGGAAAGUGGUACGCGCAGGCGCGCAGGAAAGAUGAGUGAACACUGCACAUAAUGGGUGCGUUCAGACAACUCAACAGUUGCACAACGGUUGAGAGAUAAUCACUUCUGAUUGGAUCGUACUUUUGGAACCUCAGCAGAUCUUGAAGAAUAGUCCUAUCAUAAGCGAUGAUCUCUCAACCGUUGAGCUGUCUGAACGCACCCAAUGAGUUACGAGCAAGACGGACGUGCGGUUGUGUACUCUGCUCCGAGUCUUACAAUAUCAAGAAGUUCAAAAGAAGUGCGAGGACGCCAGACCAAGAGGUUACAUUACAACGAUACAAAGUGUCGAAAGUAACGCGAGUGACAGUACUUAUCAAUUGAUUCGCAAUUAAUCGAAAGAUUAUCCUGAGGAUCUGAAAGGAGGAACAGGAUAACGGCAAGCGGACAGCAAAACAUAACCUCCUUGCGCGAGUGAGUGAGCGUGAAAAGCAGCAGUUCGAAGCUGUUCGAAUGUUACAUGGCCAAGUAACGGAUACCGAUAUUGCAGAUUCUGUGUCAAAAUGGCUUGCUCAAUCCACUUUAAGAUCUCAAAGAGAAAAGUACAUACGUACAUGUAACAUUUCAUAUGGCAAGAUAAUGAUAUUAGAAUGCAAUUUUUAUUUCUAAUUUGCUUACAUUUGUAUAAAUCGGAUCAAACAAUGUAAUAUAAAAAUAAAUAAUAUAUAAAAUAAUAUAGAAAUAUAUAUGAUACAUA